rnacentral:pre_miRNA from 1 species
AGAGGAUACCCUUUGUAUGUUCACUUGAUUAAUGGUGAAUAUACAGGGGGAGACUCUUA